rnacentral:lncRNA from 1 species
UGAAUCCCAGUUUUCCGCAGCCUACGUCCGUUAUCCUCCCACCUCUCAAACGUGGAUUCUCCAUUUCCGUAGUCAUGGGUGGUUGCGUGGCCUUCGUGCCUAGAUUCUCGGGCUGGAGAGCAUGCCUCGCCAACUGUCGUUGACCGGGUCUCCUCGAAUCAACCCUUAGCAAGAAUACAGCAGGAAUGGCUUUAUGCUUCUUGCAGGAAAUUGGCCUCGCGGAUGACGUGCUUCCUGGUGACUUCCUGGUCGAGGUGACUAAUAGCAUCCUGGUCGAGGUGAUGUGCUCGAGGUCACCACAUAUUUUUCUGGUCGAGAUGAUCUGCUCAACCAUUUGCUCACUUUUACUUUGAGGAGAGCACGAUAAUGUAUGAGCAAACACCUUUAUCUUGGUCACCCCAUUUCAUUCCCUAAACACCAGUCCCCCAGUUUCUAGUGUUGAGAGUGAAACGAAUCAAGACUAGAAACUUUAGUGAUCUGCUCGUCUUCGCUUGGUUGAGCAGAUCCUGGUAUGCUUGGCUUUCUGUCUCGCCAUAAACAGGCUUUGAAACUUUGGUGAGCCUUUGCAUGCCUUUGAUUCUUCAAGGAUUGGGAUUCUGCUCGCCUUCUCGUGGCCGAGCAGAUCCUGGCAUGCUUGGCUUCUGUCUCACCAUAAAACAGGCUUUGAGACUUUGAGCCUUUGCAUGCCUUUGAUUCUUCAAGGAUUGGGAUUCUGCUCGCCUUCUCGUGGCCGAGCAGAUCCUGGCACGCUUGGCUUCUGUCUCGCCAUAAAACAGGCUUUGAGACUUUGAGCCUUUGCAUGCCUUUGAUUCUUCAAGGAUUGGGAUUCUGCUGGCCUUCUCGUGGUCGAGCAGAUCCUGGCACGCUUGGUUUCUGUCUCGCCAUAAAACAGGUUUUGAGACUUUGAGCCUUUGCAUGCCUUUGAUUCUUCAAGGAUUGGGAUUCUGCUCGCCUUCUCGUGGCCGAGCAGAUCCUGGCAUGCUUGGCUUCCUGUCUCGCCAUAAACAGGCUUUGAAACUUUGGUGAGCCUUUGCAUGCCUUUGAUUCUUCAAGGAUUGGGAUUCUGCUCGCCUUCUCGUGGUCGAGCAGAUCCUGGCACGCUUGGUUUUUGUCUCGCCAUAAAACAGGCUUUGAGACUUUGAGCUUUUGCAUGCCUUUGAUUCUUCAAGGAUUGGGAUUCUGCUCGCCUUCUCGUGGCCGAGCAGAUCCUGGCAUGCUUGGCUUCCUGUCUCGCCAUAAACAGGCUUUGAAACUUCGGUGAGCCUUUGCAUGCCUUUGAUUCUUCAAGGAUUGGGAUUCUGCUCGCCUUCUCGUGGUCGAGCAGAUCUUGGCACGCUUGGGUUCUGUCUCGCCAUAAAACAAGCUUUGAGACUUUGAGCCUUUGCAUGCCUUUGAUUCUUCAAGGAUUGGGAUUCUGCUCGCCUUCUCGUGGUCGAGCAGAUCCUGGCACGCUUGGCUUCUGUCUCGCCAUAAAACAGGCUUUGAGACUUUGAGCCUUUGCAUGCCUUUGAUUCUUCAAGGAUUGGGAUUCUGCUCGCCUUCUCGUGGCCGAGCAGAUCCUGGCAUGCUUGGCUUCUGUCUCGCCAUAAAACAGGCUUUGAGACUUUGAGCCUUUGCAUGCCUUAGUAAAUUCUUCAAUGCUUGGGAUUCUGCUCGCCUUCACGUGGUCGAGCAGAUCCUGGCAUGCUUGGCUUCUGUCUCGUCAUAAAACAGGCUUUGAGACUUGGUGAGCCUUUGCAUGCCUUAGUGACUUCUUCGAUGCUUGGGGAUUCUGCUCGCCUUUACGUGGCCGAGCAGAUCCUGGCAUGCUUGGCUUCUGUCUCGCCAUAAACAGGCUUUGAGACUUGUCGAGCCUUUGCAUGCCUUUGAUGAUUUCUUCAAAGCUUGAGAUUCUGCUAGCCUUCUCGUGGCCGAGCAGAUCCUGUAAUGCUUGGCUUCUGUCUCGCCAUAAACAGGCUUUGAGACUUGACGAGCCUUUGCAUGCCUUGGAUGAUUUCUUCAAAGCUUGGGAUUCUGCUAGCCUUCUCGUGGCCGAGCAUAUCCUGGCAUGCUUGGCUUCUCUCUCGCCAUAAAACAGGCUUUGAGACUUGACGAGCCUUUGCAUGCCUUAAUGAAUUCUUCGAUGCUUGAGGAUUCUGCUCGCCUUCACGUGGUCGAGCAGAUCCUGGCAUGCUUAUCUUUUGUCUCGCCAUAAAACAGGCUUUGAGACUUGGUGAGCCUUUGCAUGCCUUAGUGACUUCUUCGAUGCUUGGGGAUUCUGCUCGCCUUCACAUGGCCGAGCAGAUCCUGGCAUGCUUGGCUUCUGUCUCGCCAUAAACAGGCUUUGAGACUUGUCGAGCUUUUGCAUGCCUUUAAUGAUUUCUUCAAAGCUUGGGAUUCUGCUAGCAUUCUCGUGGCCGAACAGAUCCUGGCAUGCUUGGCUUCUGUCUCGCCAUAAACAGGCUUUGAGACUUGACAAGCCUUUGCAUACCUUGGAUGAUUUCUUCAACGCUUGGGAUUCUACUAGCCUUCUCGUGGCCGAGCAGAUCCUGGCAUGCUUGGCUUCUGUCUCGCCAUAAAACAGGCUUUGCGACUUGGUGAGCCUUUGCAUGCCUUAGUGACUUUUUCGAUGCUUGGGGAUUCUGCUCGCCUUCACGUGGUCGAGCAGAUCCUGGCAUGCUUGGCUUCUGUCUCGCCAUAAAACAGGCUUUGAGACUUCACGAGCCUUUGCAUGCCUUAGAAAAUUUAUCACAGUUUCAAGUGAAUGACAUUCCUCGACGUUCCAUUAAUUGCAAGUUUUUAUUUUACAUGAACUUGCUCUGACGUAAAACAUAAAAAUAAAAGAUAAAGAGCACGAGCAGAAAUUGCUUUAAAAUGUGAACAAGUCUUACUGGAAGUAUUUUUGGAAGUGUGCUGCGUUCCAUGGGCGUUUCACCUCGUGGCCGUCCGUGCGAACCAGCUUGUAAGCUCCGGGUCCCACCAUCGGCUUGACUCUAUAUGGCCCUUCUUGUUUUCUACUCUGGUAUCGAGGGAUGUUAUCUGCAUUGCUUCCCUUGCUGCCGAGGAGUAGCAGCUUCUUGCGAUCCUCUGGUCUCCUCGUACCACUCCAACUACCCCAUUCACCCGGUACUUCAGAGCCAGAUAAUGGUUGGACAGCACCGCUUUGCUCAUCCUCAGAAAUGGCCGACCCAGGAUCAUCUGGUAUGGACCUUCUUCAUCCACCACCACAAAGUCUAGUAUCAUAGUUCUUUCUGUCUGGGAGCUCCCAAUUGUGAUAGGCAGCUCAACCACACCCAGUGGGACCAGCUUUCCUCCUCCGAAUCCCUUCAAGGAGGUAUUGGUGUAUUCCAACUUCAGGUCUGCUAUUCCCAUUUCCUCCAGGGUUGACUUAAACAACACGUCAACUGAGCUCCCUGUGUCAACCAGUAUCCUGUCAAACUUCUUGCUAGCGAUAGUGGCCUUGAUGACCAAAGCAUCCUCGUGGGGGUACAGAAUUCCUUCUUCAUCCUCAUCUGUCCACAUAAUUGGCACUUGCCUGACUCUGGCACGUUUAGCUGCUGGGGUGUUGAAGAAUACCUCUUUGCUGGUCAUGGCAUAUUUAGCAUAGUUCUUCCUCAACCUGUUGGAAUCUCCGGCUAAUGUUGGGCCCCCAGCUAUCACCCUAACUGCAGGCUGCUCGCGCCUCAAGUUCCUGUCUCUCUGCUCCCCUUCACUUGUCAAGGCUACCAUUGGGAAGGUCCCAUCUAUAAACUCGUCCAAGUACCGAUUUCUCACCAAAUCUUCUACUUGGGUCUUGAGAUCUCUACACUCUGCUGUGGUAUGGCCAUGAGUGCCAUGGAACUUACAAUAGCGUCCCCUAUCUCUCCUGCCGGGUAGCUUUGUUAUUGGGGCAGGGAGGUACAGCAAUCCUCGGUCCUUUAUGGCCUCAUACACCUCGUCCAGGGACAUCUUCAAUGAAGUAUACCGCCCAUAGUCCUGGUUCUGGUCGAUCAGGUGUACUGCCCUUUCUCUAUUUGCUCCGUUUUGAGUUGGGGGUAGUGGCAGCACUUCUGGUCUGCUCCCUCUACUGCCGUGGGAGUGUUGAUGAAGACCACCAUAUGUCGAAUCAUGCCUUCUCCAAGGCUCCCUAGCUGGGGAACGAGGAGGCUGCGCCCUGCUGCGCUGAUAUUGUGGUGGCCUCUGAUGAGGCUGGUAAGCUUUUACCCGACCUCCUGCUCCACUACCUGAGCCCUGGUGGUCCCUUCUUCUGAUCGGCCCAUUCCCUGGUGGUGCCCUCUUCUCUUUCUUUUCCAACCCCUCUAGCUGGUCAGUCUUAAUCCGAGCCGCCUUUUCUUCCUCGAUCUCUAUGUCUCUUUUAGCCUGCUCGUAUGCGGCCGCAUAUGACUGAAUAGCUGGGCUUCUCAAGUUGUACCACAACCUUUCUAUCUUCACUCCCUCUUUCAAUCCCCUUAGUGCCUGAGGAUGGUUGAAGGCUCCCAAAUCGAGGACAGCACGAUGAAACCUCUUGAUGAAUUCCCGAAGGGUUUCUUGGUCCCCCUGUUUCAUGCUUUUCAGCUCCAUCAUGUCAUCUUCUGGUGCCAUCGCCCCACUAAACUGCUCUGCGAAUUCCUGGCACAUCUGCUCGAAGGUUUUAAUGCUGCCCCGAGGAAGUUUCCUGUACCACUCUCGUGCAUGUCCCUCAAGGGAUAGUGGGAACACCCUGCACCUUUGGGAUUGAGAUAAUCCUUGUACUCCAGUUAUGUCGUUGAAGCGCUCUAUGUGCACCAGCGGAUCAGUUCUUCCCGCGUAUCUAAGGUCUGGGAGGCGGAAAUCCCUUGGAAUAAUUGCCCUCAUGAUCUCUGCUGCGAGCGGUGAUUCUCCGUCCAGCAUUAUCCUCCAACCAGGAGCUCUGCUCCUUCCUUGCAUGUCGUCAAUUAUCUGCGCUAGUCUGCGCACUUCCUCCUCCAGCUGCACUGCACGACCAGGGUCACGUGCAGCAACUUGAUCCCGCUCUUGCUCUACAUCAUGCAAAUGUUGCCUCAACUCCGUUUCCUCUGCAUUCGCCACCCCAUCGUCCUCAUCAAAAAUCUGCCUUGCCGGGGACUGCUCUUCCUCUCUAUGGAAUUCUCCCCGCAGGGGUAUGUUACCUCUCUCACCACCAAGUCUCCCGAUGGUUUGACUUCUCCUUGUACUACUGGGAUCUGGUGCCACUCCACCUCCUCUCACCCUUUCUUCCUGGGUUACCCUUCGUUCGUUCCGCCGCUCAUGCAGAAUGGUUGUCAAGGAUUCCAUCUGCUUUUCCAUUCGUUCCAUCCGGUCGAACAUGGCUUUUUCCCGUGCUUCACUGGCUAUCUCCCUCAGUGUCACGGAAUCAUUAAGCCUCAUAUCACCCCCUUGUGCACUACUUCCUCCUGCCUCCAUUGCUUUUCAGUUACUUCCCCUCACUUCUUGCUAUCAACAGAAGCUUUUUGCUCAGCUCCCCACAGACGGUGCCAAAAUGUUGAUGCAAGAUUCUGGUUGUCCUCGUUCUACGACCAGGCUCUCUGCUCGAUCAACUUCACCACGACCAGGAGGUCUCCUCGUAAGGCUUCUUCUCCAGAGGUUCCUGCGCACACACACAAGUCAGAGUACGCCGGUUGUUUUCCCGGCGCAAACCCUCCGACGCUCAAGUCAGAUAUGAAGGUUCGGGGAACGCUUGCCACAGAUCUUAUGGCUUUUUCGUAGUUUGCUCUUCUUUUAGAAUUGCUUUUAUCUCUCUUCUAAUCUCAAAAUUGCUAACCCUUUUACCUUCGUUGGCUACCUUUUUAUAGGCUUCUUCUGAAUCCCAGUUUUCUGCAGCCUACGUCCGUUAUCCUCCCACCUCUCGAACGUGGAUUCUCCAUUUCCGUAGUCAUGGGUGGUUGCGUGGCCUUCGUGCCUAGAUUCUCGGGCUGGAGAGCAUGCCUCGCCAACUGUCGUUGACCGGGUCUCCUCGAAUCAACCCUUAGCAAGAAUACAGCAGGAAUGGCUUUAUGCUUCUUGCAGGAA